UACGUAGGUGGCAAGCGUUGUCCGGAUUUACUGGGCGUAAAGAGCGCGCAGGCGGCUGGUCAAGUCCGAUGUGAAAUCUCCCGGCUCAACUGGGAAACUGCAUCGGAAACUGAUCGGCUUGAAGGUGGGAGAGGGUAGUGGAAUUCCCGGUGUAGUGGUGAAAUGCGUAGAUAUCGGGAGGAACACCAGUGGCGAAGGCGACGUCCUGGACCGGCAUUGACGCUGAGGCGCGAAAGCCAGGGGAGCAAACGGGG
rnacentral:rRNA from 1 species